AAUUAUACCGCGAAACUGCGAAUGGCUCAUUAAAUCAGUUAUCGUUUAUUUGAUAGUACCUUACUACUUGGAUAACCGUGGUAAUUCUAGAGCUAAUACAUGCUAAAAACCCCAACUCACGAAGGGGUGUAUUUAUUAGAUUAAAAACCAAUGCCCUUCGGGGCUCUUUGGUGAUUCAUAAUAACUUCUCGAAUCGCAUGGCCUUGUGCCGGCGAUGGUUCAUUCAAAUUUCUGCCCUAUCAACUUUCGAUGGCAGGGUCUUGGCCUGCCAUGGUUACAACGGGUAACGGAGGGUUAGGGCUCGACCCCGGAGAAGGAGCCUGAGAAACGGCUACUACAUCCAAGGAAGGCAGCAGGCGCGCAAAUUACCCAAUCCCGAUUCGGGGAGGUAGUGACAAUAAAUACUGAUACAGGGCUCUUUUGGGUCUUGUAAUUGGAAUGAGUACAAUUUAAAUCCCUUAACGAGGAACAAUUGGAGGGCAAGUCUGGUGCCAGCAGCCGCGGUAAUUCCAGCUCCAAUAGCGUAUAUUAAAGUUGUUGCAGUUAAAAAGCUCGUAGUUGAACCUUGGGCCUGGCUGGCCGGUCCGCCUCACCGCGUGCACUGGUUCGGCCGGGCCUUUCCCUCUGGGGAUCCCCAUGCCCUUUACUGGGUGUGGUGGGGAACCAGGACUUUUACUGUGAAAAAAUUAGAGUGUUCAAAGCAGGCCUAUGCUCGAAUACAUUAGCAUGGAAUAAUAGAAUAGGACGUGUGGUUCUAUUUUGUUGGUUUCUAGGACCGCCGUAAUGAUUAAUAGGGACAGUCGGGGGCAUCAGUAUUCAAUUGUCAGAGGUGAAAUUCUUGGAUUUAUUGAAGACUAACUACUGCGAAAGCAUUUGCCAAGGAUGUUUUCAUUAAUCAGGAACGAAAGUUAGGGGAUCGAAAACGAUCAGAUACCGUUGUAGUCUUAACCAUAAACUAUGCCGACUAGGGAUCGGACGAUGUUAUUUUUUGACUCGUUCGGCACCUUACGAGAAAUCAAAGUCUUUGGGUCCUGGGGG
rnacentral:rRNA from 1 species